UCCAGAAUUUAUGGUCUUGUCAUUUUGUUUUCUCUCCAGUGUCAGAUUUUCCGGGUCUUCCAGAAUUUGGUUGUUACUUCAAACAAUGAAUAGGAUUCAUUUAUAUGUUUAAUCGAUUGAAGAGAUUUGGAUCAGUUUCAGGCUAGUCAAAAGCAAAGGAAAAGCUGAAGCUGAAGAUAUCAUGCACAAAAACAGGGGAGUCUCCAUUGAAACUAGUCCAAAUUAUGAUUGAACCCUGGCGUUGAGCUGAUGCUUCAUAAUGUGUUAUUAUAAGAGAUAGGCUGCCCGAGUGGUCUGAAUAUACCCCCAUAGUCCCUCUGAUGCCUGUACACAAGUCCUCAGGCACCUCCAAAAAGGAAGCUUGAUGAAGAGCCAUUGUGCAUAAACUCAUACACCAGAAGUAAGUGUUCACCCUCACAGCAGUAACCCAGCAAGUGUCGUAGAUUCUUAUGCAACAGAAUUUCCAGAACCUGAUGGUAAUAUCCCUUUAUAGACAGUGCCAAAGGCUUCUACCAUCGCUUGUACUCACGAUUCUGUGAUAAAGCUGCAGAUUUUUUAGGUUCAAGCAGUAGAAAACUAGAGAAUUGCAACGAAGAAGUGAAGAAGAAC